rnacentral:rRNA from 1 species
AUUGAACGCUGGCGGCAGGCCUAACACAUGCAAGUCGAACGGUAGCACAGAGAGCUUGCUCUCGGGUGACGAGUGGCGGACGGGUGAGUAACGUCUGGGAAACUGCCCGAUGGAGGGGGAUAACUACUGGAAACGGUAGCUAAUACCGCAUAACGUCGCAAGACCAAAGUGGGGGACCUUCGGGCCUCACACCAUCGGAUGUGCCCAGAUGGGAUUAGCUAGUAGGUGGGGUAAUGGCUCACCUAGGCGACGAUCCCUAGCUGGUCUGAGAGGAUGACCCGCCACACUGGAACUGAGACACGGGCCAGACUCCUACGGGAGGCAGCAGUGGGGAAUAUUGCACAAUGGGCGCAAGCCUGAUGCAGCCAUGCCGCGUGUAUGAAGAAGGCCUUCGGGUUGUAAAGUACUUUCAGCGGGGAGGAAGGCGGUGAAGUUAAUAGCUUCACCGAUUGACGUUACCCGCAGAAGAAGCACCGGCUAACUCCGUGCCAGCCGCCGCGGUAA